rnacentral:rRNA from 1 species
GACGAACGCUGGCGGCGUGCCUAAUACAUGCAAGUAGAACGCUGAAGGAGGAGCUUGCUUCUCCGGAUGAGUUGCGAACGGGUGAGUAACGCGUAGGUAACCUGCCUGGUAGCGGGGGAUAACUAUUGGAAACGAUAGCUAAUACCGCAUAACAGUAGAUGUUGCAUGACAUUUGCUUAAAAGGUGCAAUUGCAUCACUACCAGAUGGAACUGCGUUGUAUUAGCUAGUUGGUGAGGUAACGGCUCACCAAGGCGACGAUACAUAGCCGACCUGAGAGGGUGAUCGGCCACACUGGGACUGAGACACGGCCCAGACUCCUACGGGAGGCAGCAGUAGGGAAUCUUCGGCAAUGGACGGAAGUCUGACCGAGCAACGCCGCGUGAGUGAAGAAGGUUUUCGGAUCGUAAAGCUCUGUUGUAAGAGAAGAACGAGUGUGAGAGUGGAAAGUUCACACUGUGACGGUAUCUUACCAGAAAGGGACGGCUAACUACGUG